UGCCUAGUAGUGGGGGAUAGCUCGGGGAAACUCGAAUUAAUACCGCAUACGACCUACGGGUGAAAGGGGGCGCAAGCUCUUGCUAUUAGAUGAGCCUAAAUCAGAUUAGCUAGUUGGUGGGGUAAAGGCCCACCAAGGCGACGAUCUGUAACUGGUCUGAGAGGAUGAUCAGUCACACCGGAACUGAGACACGGUCCGGACUCCUACGGGAGGCAGCAGUGGGGAAUAUUGGACAAUGGGGGCAACCCUGAUCCAGCCAUGCCGCGUGUGUGAAGAAGGCCUUUUGGUUGUAAAGCACUUUAAGCAGGGAGGAGAGGCUAAUGGUUAAUACCCAUUAGAUUAGACGUUACCUGCAGAAUAAGCACCGGCUAACUCUGUGCCAGCAGCCGCGGUAAUACAGAGGGUGCGAGCGUUAAUCGGAAUUACUGGGCGUAAAGCGAGUGUAGGUGGCUCAUUAAGUCACAUGUGAAAUCCCCGGGCUUAACCUGGGAACUGCAUGUGAUACUGGUGGUGCUAGAAUAU
rnacentral:rRNA from 1 species